GUACACUCCUGCGGGAGGCAGCAGUGGGGAAUAUUGGACAAUGGGCGCAAGCCUGAUCCAGCCAUGCCGCGUGAGUGAUGAAGGCCCUAGGGUUGUAAAGCUCUUUCACCGGUGAAGAUAAUGACGGUAACCGGAGAAGAAGCCCCGGCUAACUUCGUGCCAGCAGCCGCGGUAAUACGAAGGGGGCUAGCGUUGUUCGGAUUUACUGGGCGUAAAGCGCACGUAGGCGGACUAUUAAGUCAGGGGUGAAAUCCCGGGGCUCAACCCCGGAACUGCCUUUGAUACUGGUAGUCUUGAGUUCGAGAGAGGUGAGUGGAAUUCCGAGUGUAGAGGUGAAAUUCGUAGAUAUUCGGAGGAACACCAGUGGCGAAGGCGGCUCACUGGCUCGAUACUGACGCUGAGGUGCGAAAGCGUGGGGAGCAAACAGGAUUAGAAACCCGGGUAGUCCCA
rnacentral:rRNA from 1 species